AUGCUUUCUGGGAAGUGUAGUCUUAGGUGCCUAGGUUUCUUGCCGGCCACGAAAUCUUACAGCUAUAGUUAACUAAGGGCAGAAAAGCUAACAAUCCUCAGCGUUCGGGCAAAGGGCAGAGAAUCCAGCCAGAAGCAACAAGUAGAUCUAAUGACCUUCUCCAGGAGUGGAGGACUCACUACCUCACUGAAGUCUCACAGAGUCAAAAAUGUGUCUCUACCUACUGAUGCCAGAACAGUCCCCUGCUGCCACAUGGAAUGACUCAUCUCUCUUCCUCAAGUCAGCCUUUCCUGUAUUUCAUGAUCGCAAACCUUAUCCUUAUGUUGCCAGCAGUAACAUUUUGUAUCCUGCACCCACUCCACCAUGUCCUUUUCCUCCCACUGAUCUUCACUCUGCCUUCUCUAGGGGAACUCAACAGUAUUUCUGAGAAGAGUGCUGGCAUCUCUUCAUCCCUAGAGUGAUGCUGUCAUCUCCAUCUUGAAUGUCUCAGCUGACAUGGCCCGCUAAACUUAAACUCAUAGGUGGGACAAUCGCUUGAACCCAGGAG